CUCUCUUCCUUUAUUUCUUGUUUCCUCUCACCACUCAAGCUUCUCUUCAAGACAAAGUACGCCUCUUUCUCUCUCCCUGUCUUCUCUGGGUCUUGAACAAGUCCCAGAGACUCGCGGGUUCAUAAAGAAAUGCAGAUUGAGAGACAGCUGUAAAGGGAAAUAAGUCUCCCUUAUUCUCUUUUUAGUCUCUCUCUCUCUGUCUCUUUAUUUUCUUUGAAAUUGCAACAGCCAUUUAAAAGAGGCUGAAGAUCAAUAAUUUGGAAAAGAUUCUUGGGUUUUGGUGGGUUUUUGAUUCUUUAACUUAGAGACUUGUGAGGAUGUUUGGGUGUGAUUGUUUUUAUUGGACCCAAGUUAAUGAAUUCUACUUUCCAGAGCCUCAGCCUUUCUCUUUGCCUGCUCCAAUUCCACAGUGGCCUCAAGGUCAAGGAUUUGCUACUGAAAGAAUAAACCUGGGAGAACUAAAAGUCAUCAAAAUUACCCAAUUUGAGAGUGUCUGGAGCUGCAGCCUCUUGCAUGGAAAAAAGAAUGGAGUCACAUUUUAUAGGCCUGUUGGGAUCCCUGAUGGUUUUUAUUGCCUUGGCCAUUACUGUCAGUCUAACGAUCAACCAUUGAGAGGCUACGUACUUGUGGCUUGUGAUGCCAACACCAAGAAACCAGAAGUUGGCCAUCUCCGUCAAUCAAAAUCAGGCUUUCCAGCUCUAAAACAGCCCCUUAACUACUCAUUGAUUUGGAGUACUAAUUCACAUGAUGAUGGUUCCGGUUAUUUUUGGCUGCCAAACUCCCCAGCUGGUUAUAAGGCUAUGGGUGUUCUGGUCACUAACAAGCCAGAGGAGCCUAGUGUUGAAGAAGUGAGAUGCGUUCGAGCAGAUCUUACAGAAAAAUGUGAAACUUGUGAUCUAAUAAUUUCCUCAGAUUCAAAAACUUUCAAGAACCAAUUUCAGAUCUGGAACACAAGACCCUGCAAAAGGGGAAUGUUUGCUAAAGGUGUUCCUGUUGGGACAUUCUACUGUGGUACCUACUUGAGUUCUGAAGAUGACCUGCUAGAUGUUGCCUGUUUAAAGAAUCUUGACAGCACCCUACAGGCAAUGCCAAAUCUGGACCAAAUUCAUGCACUCAUUAAGCAUUAUGGCCCUACUGUAUUCUUCCAUCCCGAUGAAGAUUACUUGCCAUCAUCAGUGCAGUGGUUCUUCAAAAAUGGAGCACUUUUGUGCCAAGAAGGCAAGGAUGAGGGUGAACGGAUUGACUAUAGGGGUUCAAACUUGCCUAGUGGAGGUGAAAAUGAUGGGGAAUAUUGGAUUGAUUUGCCAAAUGAUGAUGAUGCAAGAAAUAAUAUCAAAAGAGGAGAUUUAGAGAGUGCUGAGCUUUAUGUUCAUGUGAAACCAGUGCUUGGAGGAACUUUUACUGAUAUUGCAAUGUGGGUAUUUGGGUAUUUUGUCCCUUCAAUGGCCCAGCCACCCUUAAAGUUGGGUUAAUGAGUAUACCUAUGACAAAGAUUGGGCAACAUGUGGGUGACUGGGAGCACUUCACUCUUCGUAUAAGCAACUUCACAGGAGAACUAUGGCAAGUCUUCUUCUCAGAGCACAGUGGUGGCCGAUGGGUGGAUGCUUCUGAUUUGGAGUUCAUUGAAGGCAAUAAGCCGAUUGUUUAUUCGUCAAAACAUGGUCAUGCUAGUUACCCUCACCCUGGUACUUACCUUCAAGGAUCAACAAAAUUUGGGAUUGGAGUGAGAAAUGAUGCUGCUCGAAGUAACUAUUAUGUGGAUUCAAGCACAAGGUAUCAGCUUAUUGCAGCUGAGUAUCUUGGGGAUGGAGUUGUGACAGAGCCAUGUUGGUUGCAGUUUAUGAGAGAAUGGGGUCCAACCAUUGUAUAUGAUUCGAGAUCUGAACUAGAUAAGAUUAUUAAUCUCCUCCCAUUCUUUGUUAGAUUCUCAGUAGAGAACAUCUUUGACCUGUUCCCAACAGA
rnacentral:misc_RNA from 1 species